GGUACUCGGGGAGAGGUUACCCGAGCAACUUUGCAUCUGGACGACGAAUGUUGCUCGGUGAACCCCUUUUCGGUAUC
rnacentral:pre_miRNA from 10 species